AUGGUGGGGGACAAAAGGCAGUUCUUCAUGUACAUUCUUCUUCGUGAAGCACAUGAUGGUCUCUCGAGCUUGUCGAAAAGGUUAAGUACUGAACCGGAGUUCAUCGAGAACCAUAUCCCAAUAGAGAUGGUUGAAGUCGGACAGUUCAUGCUCCCAAAGUUCAAGAUACCUUUUGGAUUUGAAGCAUCCAAUUUGCUCAAGGGUUUGGGUCUUCAGUUGCCAUUCAGUAUGGAGGCUAGUCUUUCAGAGAUGGUGAAUUCUCUCGUGGGCCUAUUCAUCGCAUCUGCUUUCCACAAAACGUUUGUCGAAGUUGACGAAGAAGGAACUAAGGCAGCAGCAGCAACUAGUGUUGUGAUAGUACAUCAGUCACAACCCUCAAGGAUGGAUUUCGUCGCUAAUCACCCUUUCCUCUUCCUUAUUCGAGAAGACAUCACCGGUGUAGUGCUCUUCAUUGGUCAUGUUGCUAAUCCCCUCGUGUCUUAUUAG
rnacentral:rRNA from 1 species